UACGAAGGGGGCUAGCGUUGCUCGGAAUUACUGGGCGUAAAGCGCACGUAGGCGGCUUUCUAAGUCGGGGGUGAAAUCCUGGAGCUCAACUCCAGAACUGCCUUCGAUACUGGAAAGCUCGAGUCCGGGAGAGGUGAGUGGAACUGCGAGUGUAGAGGUGAAAUUCGUAGAUAUUCGCAAGAACACCAAUGGCGAAGGCAGUUCACUGGCGCACUCCUGACGCUGAAACACGAAAGCGUGGGUAGCGAAUGGG
rnacentral:rRNA from 1 species